UACGAAGGGGGCUAGCGUUGCUCGGAAUUACUGGGCGUAAAGCGCACGUAGGCGGUCUUUUAAGUCGGUGGUGAAAUCCUGGAGCUCAACUCCAGAACUGCCUUCGAUACUGGAAGACUUGAGUCCGGGAGAGGUGAGUGGAACUGCGAGGGUAGAGGUGAAAUUCGUAGAUAUUCGCAAGAACACCAGUGGCGAAGGCGGCUCACUGGCCCGGUACUGACGCUGAGGUGCGAAAGCGUGGGGAGCAAACAGG
rnacentral:rRNA from 1 species